AACUCCUUCCGGUACGACUCGAUCGCUUUUUUUAGUAAACAAACAACAAUUUAGAAACCUGAGAAAAUAAUAGAAGAUCUGAAAUAUAUAUAUAUAUAUAUAUAUAUAUAUAUUAUAUGUAUAAGUAUUACCUUGUGUAACGAGCGAUAAACAUAGGGGAAGAUCACGCUUGAAAACUUGGAUCUUCUUUUGUUCUUCUACGAGUGCUUCUAUGUAUUCUUCACAUCUCUUCUUUUUCAAGGUAUAGUCCAUGUUGUCUCCUUUCUUAGCCAUAGUCGUACAGAGAUCUUAGACAGCAACUUCGAUUAUCAGACCAGUUUGGAUUAGAGACCAUAAAUCAAAGAGAGAUGAAAAAAGGAAGAAGUGUGAAAGAGACCGGUUUUUUGAUCUAAAUAGAGAAGAGAAGGGAAAAAAAUAAACUUGUUGUUCGAGUUGGAAACUUUAAGAGGAGAGAGAGAGAUUAGAAUUGAUGUGUGAAAACAUUAGGGUUCGAGGUCAAGCCGUCGCGUACCUAACGGAAUCUUUUUUUAUUUAUUAAAAGCGUUUUUUUUCUCCAUAUUUACGAUUUUUAAGAUAAAAA